GUUGGUAGAAACCCUGAAACAUCUGAUUUUGAAUAUUAUAAGAAGAAGAAAAUUUGUGAUAUAUACACUUUUCUGACAGACACAGAAGUCGUAAUCAACGGCUAGGCCCAUUGGCAGUUUCGAUGCUUCAUCUGCCUGGACAAGUUUAGAGUCAAGUAAUCUUAGGACAAGCUUCAUCCACACAACAUUUACUGCCUACAAUAAUACAGCAAGACUGUUCAGAGCCAUAUGUGAGCAACUUUAUUUUAGAAAAAGCAUCAACUUCAACAACAUUCCAACCUGUGGCUGCAGAUGCAUCUCAACAAUUUACUUCAGCAAGGUGCUGGUGAUGCUGGAACAUAGUCUUAUUAGCAAGCCUGAAAGAACAGCUGGAAAAGAUCUAAUGGCUCCACAGCGCACAAAGAUCAAGCAUCUUCAAGCAGAAAUAUCGCGCUUGCGAAAAAAAGGACAAUCUUUCAAAGCAAGGUUAAAAGGUGGUGCAGAUCGAUCAAUCGAAUUUUGUCCGGAAAAUUAACAUAUGUGGGUGAAGACGAAACAAAAACAGAUGCCCAACAAUAUUAUG